AAGACCUUGCGCUUUUGGAGCGGCCGAUGUCUGAUUAGCUAGUUGGUGGGGUAAUGGCCUACCAAAGCUUCGAUCAGUAGCUGGUCUGAGAGGACGGCCAGCCACACUGGGACUGAGACACGGCCCAGACUCCUACGGGAGGCAGCAGUGGGGAAUUUUGGACAAUGGGCGCAAGCCUGAUCCAGCCAUGCCGCGUGAGUGAAGAAGGCCUUCGGGUUGUAAAGCUCUUUCAGCCGGGAAGAAAAGGCUGCGACUAAUAAUCGCAGUUCAUGACGGUACCGGAAGAAGAAGCACCGGCUAACUACGUGCCAGCAGCCGCGGUAAUACGUAGGGUGCGAGCGUUAAUCGGAAUUACUGGGCGUAAAGGGUGCGCAGGCGGUUUUGUAAGUCAGAUGUGAAAUCCCCGGGCUCAACCUGGGAACU
rnacentral:rRNA from 1 species